ensembl:lncRNA
AGAGAGAGAGAGAGAGAGAGAGAGAGAAAGAGAGGGAGAAAGAAAGAACAAAAAGGUAAAAAUAACAGAAGGGGUAAAAAUAGACUAUGGUGAAACAUUACAUUCAGAGAUAGAUACACAGAGGGUGGAGAGAAAAAGAGUGAAAGGAGUGAGAGAGAGAGGGAGAGAGAGAGAGAAGGAGGGAGAGAGGGUAAAGGAGAAAGUGAGGGACAGAGAGAGAAAGAGAGAAAGGGAGAGAUAGAGUCCUCCAUCACUGUGGACAACCCAACAUGCCAGGUACAGAAUGUUCUGGUACCUACAUCGGGCUGGCUCUGACCUCCCUGGCUCUUCUGGUCUCCGUCUGUGUCAAUAUCAUCCUCUUCAUCCUGAGACACAGGGACAUCAAACACAGAGCAGACACAGAGGAGCUUCUCUACCCACUACAUUACCCUACAGAGAGUCCCAUUAGAUUCGAGGAGGAAGAGGAGGAGGAGAAUCAUCAACAGCAGGAGAACCCCAUUUAUGGAAACAUUGCAUCAGUGUCUGAGGGGAACUGCACCUCUCUAUGCUAUGAAUCCAUGACCCUGCACCACUCGAGAGCAAACAGAAAGCCACCACAGACUGUUUCUCACCUUCAGCAUCCUGACCUAAACUACGCUUCUCUGGAUCUGGAUGUGGGACAGAAACGAAAGAAGAAGCGCCGCUACCAUCAGAACCAGACCCAGGGCCCAGCCCAGGCGGCCAGGGGCUUCCUGGAAGUAGAUGCAGAGGUUGAGGCUUCUCUUCCCUCCAGGAGUAGCAGCCCCCUUGCUUCCAGAAACAGCAUCUACCUCAACAGCCAACAGAUGGCUCUGGAGACCGAAGAGAGGGAGAGGGUGAGGGAGAGAGGGUGGGACAGAGACCGGGAGUGGGACACAGGAAGGGAGGAGAGAGGGAGAAAUAGAGACAGGGAGUGGGACACAGCAAGGGAGGAGAGAGGGAGAGAGAGAGAGAGUGAUGGAGAGAGUGAGAGAGAGACAGACGCAGACGGUAUAACACACAAUCUGUCACUCAGGCAUUCUGACAAGUAAUGUCACUGAGGUCAAGUCAGGGUUAAGAGGUCAAGAUGGAAUAUCUGUCCUAUAUGAUACCCCUACCUCAGUUAUACAGAUAGACUGACAAAGAGAGUCAGACAGACUGAUGGAAAAUGAGAGAGAGAGACAGUGAGAGAGAGAGAGACAGCCAGAGAGAGACAGAAGCAGAAGGCUGAGAAAGUGAGAGAAAUGACUGAUAUACAAAGCAACAUGUAAAGAGACGUUAAAACCACCUACUUUGUCUACAAUUUUAUCUGCUAGCAGGUAGGAGGAAGGAAAAAUAAAGGGACUCCUGCACACUGGUGGAAAACAAGUGUCACAACAAGACACACUGAGGGAACCUUCAUGUAAAUGUCAUGUGAUAUUUAAAGGUGAAAUCUUCAAGACUGCUGACUGGAAUUAGUUUUGUGAUGAGAGGUGAUGUGAACAUCCUCAAAGGUCUGCUUAGGAAGGGGUGGCUCCAGGCAACACACAAACACACAAACACACAAACACACAAACACACAAACACACAAACACACAAACACACAAACACACAAGCACACAGGAAGGGUUAGGCCUGUGCAAUGACAACGACCGACUGUUGUUUCAAGUCUGCACUUCAAACUGAAAUGAAAUUCUAGGGUGUGAAUGCAAAUCCGGUAGAGAUCUUUCUUGAUUAUGCCGUUUUUGUAUGUGACUAAAAAAGCAUUUUACAUGACUUAAAACUAUAUAAAUUUUGUCAGGGUUGUUGAUUUCUGAAUAUUAC